AAACUGGGAUUAGAUACCCCACUAUUUUUAGACAAAAAUAGGUCGCACUCCUACCAGAGUAUUACGAACUAUUAGUUUAAAACUCAAAGAACUUGGCGGUGCCUAAGACCCCUCAGGGGAACCUGUUUCAUAAUCGACAAUCCACGCUAAACCUUACCUUUUUUUGACAUACAGCAUGUAUACCGUCGUCGUCAGGUAACUUUUUAAAAUACAGAAGUUAACAAAAGAGAACAUUAUCUCUUACGUCAGAUCAAGGUGCAGCCAAUAAAAAGGAGAGAAUGGGUUACAAUUAUUAUUUAUAAUCACGAAAAAUUAAAUGAAAUUUUUUUAUGAAGGAGGACUUGAAAGUAAAAUAAAAACUAUAUAAACUAUUUGAAUCAACUGGCUCUAAGGCGUGCACACACCGCCCGUCACCCCC
rnacentral:rRNA from 1 species